CUGCCUCACACAGGGGGACAACAGCCGGAAACGGCUGCUAAUACCGCAUAACACAAGUAAUUCGCAUGAAUAACUUGCCAAAGAUUUCAUCGGUGUGAGAUGGAUCCGCGUCUGAUUAGCCAGUUGGCGGGGUAACGGCCCACCAAAGCGACGAUCAGUAGCCGACCUGAGAGGGUGACCGGCCACAUUGGGACUGAGACACGGCCCAAACUCCUACGGGAGGCAGCAGUGGGGAAUAUUGCACAAUGGGCGAAAGCCUGAUGCAGCGACGCCGCGUGAAGGAUGAAGUAUUUCGGUAUGUAAACUUCUAUCAGCAGGGAAGAAAAUGACGGUACCUGACUAAGAAGCCCCGGCUAACUACGUGCCAGCAGCCGCGGUAAUACGUAGGGGGCAAGCGUUAUCCGGAUUUACUGGGUGUAAAGGGAGCGUA
rnacentral:rRNA from 1 species